CAUUGAGCCUUGAUGUGUAGGAUAGGUGGGAGGCUUAGAAGUGUGGACGCCAGUCUGCAUGGAGCCGACCUUGAAAUACCACCCUUUAAUGUUUGAUGUUCUAACGUUGACCCGUAAUCCGGGUUGCGGACAGUGUCUGGUGGGUAGUUUGACUGGGGCGGUCUCCUCCUAAAGAGUAACGGAGGAGCACGAAGGUUGGCUAAUCCUGGUCGGACAUCAGGAGGUUAGUGCAAUGGCAUAAGCCAGCUUGACUGCGAGCGUGACGGCGCGAGCAGGUGCGAAAGCAGGUCAUAGUGAUCCGGUGGUUCUGAAUGGAAGGGCCAUCGCUCAACGGAUAAAAGGUACUCCGGGGA
rnacentral:rRNA from 1 species